rnacentral:rRNA from 1 species
UACGUAGGGUGCAAGCGUUAAUCGGAAUUACUGGGCGUAAAGCGUGCGCAGGCGGUUAUGUAAGACAGUUGUGAAAUCCCCGGGCUCAACCUGGGAAUUGCAUCUGUGACUGCAUAGCUAGAGUACGGUAGAGGGGAUGGAAUUCCGCGUGUAGGCAGUGAAAUGCGUAGAUAUGCGGAGGAACACCGAUGGCGAAGGCAUCCCCUGGACCUGUACUGACGCUCAUGCACGAAAGCGUGGGGAGCAA